GCUCCUCCAAAUAUUCUUACACCAGAGGAUUUGCAGUCUCUCUCUCUCUCUCUCUCUCGCUAUUUAUAUAAAUAUAUUGUCUCUCCUCAUGUCAGCUACAAAUUCCUUUUCUUUUCAUUUAAAUUAAGGAAUUGGAAUAACCAAGAACAAGAGAUUUUUAUUUUUGAAAAUUAAAAUUAAAAAAAGAAAAGGAAGAGAGAGACACAUAUAGAUAGGGAGGAUGGUGAGCACAUCCUCUGUUUCCAUUCCCAGUUUUUUUCCUUCCUCUCAUUGAAACAUUUUUCACAUGCCCAUGAUUUUUCCACCAUCUUUAUCCUCAUAUGAUGUUUUGAUUGAUGCUCAGAAGAUCCGAUGCUCUUAGAUCGAAUUUGACAAAACCCACUUCGUGUCUGAUCGAAGCAACAACUGGGUUCUGUCUGAAUUUUAAGAUAAGAUGGAAUCGGAUCUUGGCAAGCUCUUCAUUGGGGGAAUAUCUUGGGACACUGAUGAGGAACGUCUGAAGGAAUAUUUUGGGAAAUAUGGGGAGGUGAUAGAGGCUGUGAUCAUGAGGGAUCGCGCCACGGGUCGUGCUCGUGGCUUCGGUUUCGUUGUCUUUGCCGAUCCUGCUGUUGCAGAAAGAGUCAUUAUGGAUAAACACAUAAUAGAUGGCCGCACAGUGGAAGCAAAGAAAGCUGUUCCUAGGGAUGAUCAGCACAAUAUAAAUAGACAGUCUGGUAGUGCACAUGCAUCUCCUGGUCCUGGACGCACGAAAAAGAUUUUUGUUGGAGGGUUACCGUCAACUAUCACUGAAAGUGAUUUUAAAAAGUAUUUUGAUCAAUUUGGAACAAUUACUGAUGUUGUAGUUAUGUAUGAUCAUAAUACGCAGAGGCCAAGAGGAUUUGGCUUCAUCACAUAUGAUUCUGAAGAAGCCGUGGAUAGAGUUCUUUGUAGAACUUUUCAUGAACUCAACGGAAAGAUGGUUGAAGUCAAGAGGGCAGUUCCUAAAGAGCUUUCUCCUGGUCCCACUCGGAGCCCUUUGAUAGGAUAUAACUAUGGGGGUUUGAAUAGAGCCAGUAGCUACCUAAACAGUUAUGCUCAGGGCUAUAGUAUGAAUCCAAUAGGAGGAUAUGGAGUCAGAAUGGACGGUAGGUUUAGUCCUCUUACUAGUGGUAGAAGUGGGUUUACUCCUCUUGGCAACACCGGUUAUGGAAUGGGGAUGAAUUUGGAUUCAGGAUUGAGCCCAAGCUUUGGAGGGACUUCCAGUUAUGGAAGCAAUUUAGGAUAUGGUCGAAUACUUAGUCCUUUCUACAGUGGUAAUUCUAGCAGAUAUACCACUCCUAUAGGCUAUAGUGGCGGUAGUGGGAGAAGUGAUUCUCUUAUGAGCUCACCCUCUCGGAAUGUAUGGGGAAAUGGGGGCCUCAACAAUGCUAGUACACCUGUCAGCCCCAGUCCUUUCUUAGGAUCUGGAAGUGGGUCUUUUGGUGUUUCAAUUGGAAAUAGUGGCACUGGUUGGGGUCCAUCCGUUCCAACCCAGGGUGGAGGGGCUGCUUCUGGCUAUGCUGCUGGGAAUAAUGUUUAUGAAGGUGGCGAUAGCAGCUUUGGAUUAGGUGGGGGAGGGUAUGGAAGAAACAGCAGUGCUGGAGUAACUCCAUCCUCUGCAUUUAAUGUAUCAUCUGGUGGUUAUGAAGGAUCCUAUGGGGACUUAUACCGCAGUGGCAGUGGUUCAGUUUACAAUGACUCUACUUGGCGAUCCGCUGCUUCUGAGAUAGAUGGUUCUGGCUCAUUUGGUUAUGGUCUUGGUGGUAUUGCUUCAGAUGACCCAGUAAAGAGUUCUGAGGGUUAUAUUGGAAGCUACAAUGUUACAAGUAGGCAAUCUAAUAGAGAUGCUUGAUAGCUUUCUCAGAAGUGUUUACUGCAAUCCAAGUAGAAUUAUUGCUUGCAACUUCCUGUGCUUAUGUGAAUCGCUGCCUAGGAGAUAUGUUAAUUGGAUAUGUCAUGGUAGUAGCAGUAGAUCAAGGGAAACUGGUUAAAGUUUAAUGAGGUAUUGUGAAUUCAUACAUCUCCAUCACUUAAGAGAUACAGCUCAUAAGGAAAUUCGUCAUAUAUAGCUAACGGUGUUCUUUCUUCUUUCAUUUGAAGUAUACAUAUUCAAAGACAAAGCAGUUACAAGUGUUUUUGUGUAAGGCUUGGUUUUUUUUUUCUCCUCCUUGUUUUGUUCCUCUUUUUCAUUUUUCAAGACUUAGGUUCCUUUCUUGGAAUUUGAUUGAGGUGUAAAAUCAGAUUGCGGAAUAUACUCAGGAAGAUUUGUUCCAUGAUUAUAGUGUAAUAGUACAUCUCACGGAGAGGCGCAUCAUCGUUAGUUGGUUUAAUGAUAGAGUAUUAAUUUUUGAAUUUCUUCUUUCUUUUGCCACUGUAAUGCAUGGCAUGCAAAGGUGUUGGUUCUUGUCACCAUCUUUUUUUUCUUUAUUAUGGUAUAUGUAACUCUGAUCAAAUUGUAAGUGAGGUUCAGUUUGAUUUAUCAAGUGUGAAACAUG